CAUCUUAUUAUUAUGCUAACGUUAGCCUGCUAGCUUAAUACUUGUGGUUCUUGUGGAUGAAGUUUGUCAAAACCAACCGCCGAUGGUGGAACCCCACUUCCUGGUCUCUAAGCAGGAACGUCUUGCCCCAUUUGUUGCACUUAAAAGGCUUCUCUCUGUGGCAUGGCUCUCACCCGCGUGUCAUAUGAGGUUAACGUCCUUUAUAAAACGUUGAAGCUGAGGUUCUCCGCAGAAACAGCGGCAGCCUGACAGGAGGUGUACAUGUGCAGCAGCAGUCUGAUGAAGGGGUCUGACAGAAUAUUUCAUCUUGGCUCUGCUGCGGCUCCAUGUUGGGACUCCACUCCUGCUGAGGAAGGAACAUCUCUUCCUGACACUCCAGGGCCAUCUAUUAAACAUGAAGCAACAGUUUACUGACACAGACUUUGGGUAUUACUGAAGCUCUGGAGUAGAAAUAUGCUGAGUUUGACCUCUCGGUCUCAUUUAUGUCACUCUUCAUUAUCUCACUGUCUGUUCUUAUUGGAAGUCUUACAUGAGGAAAUCCUGUCGGUAAAAUAAAUCUCAAACAACAACUUGAACAUUUCCAGGAGAAAAAUAGUUCCUUUGGUUUGAAACAUUUAAAGUACAUUAGAACAAAAGACUUGGACUGGUUAAAGUCUGAUCUGCCUAUUUUAUUGACAUUUGUCUCAUUUUAAGGAUGCUUUUUGUCUGGUUGUUGCAGCCUGUGAUUCUAGUAUAAAGAUAUUUUUGUUUCAUAUUGUGAAUUUGAUUGCUGAAGAAGGUUAGUGACCUGAACGUUGAAUAUUGAACUUGGAUGUUUUUCCUCUGCACCUGACUACCACAACGUUGCCAGAUGCCACUCUCUCUUCACCGUGUAAUUCUAUAAAUGUCAUAAAACAAAAUACUAUAUAUAUUAAUAAAAAAAAUAUAGUAAUAAAAUAAAAUAUAGUCCAAAAAAAUAGAACCCAAGCUCAAAAGAAACUUUGAAUAUAUAGGCUGCUGGCUAAAUAAAUAAUUAUAAAAGCUACACACCGGUAUACAGAUGCAGAGCAGCUCUCUGGUCUCCUCUUGUUAAAUGCAUCCAUGUUGGUGCAUCACUGCCCCCCCCUACAGGUCAACAUAUUAAACGAACACUUCAAAAGAAAAAGAAUUCCCUUAGCAAUACACACAGCCCACUGGUUUUAUAAGCAACAUCAUUUAAUCUUAAAAUAAAAUAAAUCAUUGUGUUGGUUUACCUUCCAUAUAAAUAUAAAUAAAUAUGCAAAUUGCUAAAAACAAAUAUGUUUAUGCCCGACAAUGUUUUUAAGUAUUGAAUAUAUUGUAGCACUGAAAUAUUGAGUGUGGUCUGAAAUGUACAUGUGUAUA
rnacentral:lncRNA from 1 species